AACGAACGCUGGCGGCGUGCUUAACACAUGCAAGUCGAACGCGAAAGGGACUUCGGUCCUGAGUAAAGUGGCGCACGGGUGAGUAACGCGUAGAUAACCUGUCUUCAUGUCUGGAAUAAUACGCCGAAAGGGGUACUAAUACCGGAUAAUCUUGCUUUAUAUAAGUUUUGCAAGGAAAGGUGGACUCUGAUUCAAGCUACUGCAUGUAGAGGGGUCUGCGUACCAUUAGCUAGUAGGUGGGGUAAUGGCCUACCUAGGCGACGAUGGUUAGCGGGUCUGAGAGGAUGAUCCGCCACACUGGCACUGGAACACGGGCCAGACUCCUACGGGAGGCAGCAGUGAGGAAUAUUGCGCAAUGGGGGCAACCCUGACGCAGCGACGCCGCGUGAGUGAGGAAGGCCUUCGGGUCGUAAAGCUCUGUCAAAGGGAAAGAAGUGCAUGGUGGCUAAUACCUGCCAUGUUUGACGGUACCCUUAAAGGAAGCACCGGCUAACUCCGUGCCAGCAGCCGCGGUAACAC
rnacentral:rRNA from 1 species